UAAAUGACUCUCGGCAACGGAUAUCUCGGCUCUUGCRUCGAUGAAGAACGUAGCGAAAUGCGAUACUUGGUGUGAAUUGCAGAAUCCCGCGAACCAUCAAUUCUUUGAACGCAAGUUGCGCCCGAAGCCAUUCGGCCGAGGGCACGCCUGCCUGGGUGUCGUGA
rnacentral:rRNA from 1 species